AGAUAAAAUUUUGACUUGUAAGGUCAUUUUAAGACACAUUAGUCCAGAUACAGAGGAAAAGAAGAACAGACGUUCUUGAGGAUGGGGAAAGCGGGAGAACUCCUAGGGGCAAAGGCGAACACUAACAAACCUAUUUCAAGUCGUAAGCAAGAAAUGAAACCCCGUGGUAAAAGGCACAGAAACGCUUGCUACGCAGGCUAAUUGGUUCCAAGAAACCACCACCCACCUUGACCAUGGCAGUGAGCGGCGCGUCACAUGCAUUCUCCAGAUCCUGGACCAGCAGCUGGAUACAGUUCGACACAACCCUGCAUGACACAGCAAACGUAGCGGAAAUAACGUAUUGGAAAUGACAUACCAGGAAUGAGGAACCGGAAAUGGUGUCAUUAAACUCACAAGAAAAACGACGGAGCAUUUACCCGUGAAAUACAUCUUGCUCGCCACUCAGAUCAAUCUUCUCGGCCAGCUCUGGGUCUAUUUUCUCUUUUAGUUUAUCUUCAAGCUGGAAUAAUAUUAUUGAGGAAAGUGCUGAUAAGCUGUUGAUAUCAGGCUUCCUGUUGGGCUACCUGUUGUGUAGUGUUGGGCUACCUGUUGUGUAGUGUUGGGCAACCUGUUGUGUGGUGUUGGGCUACCUGUUGUGUAGUGUUGGGCAACCUGAUGUGUAGUGUUGGGCUACCUGUUGUGUAGUGUUGGGCUACCUUUUGUGUAGUAUUGGGCUACCUGUUGUGUAGUUUCCAGGCAGUAGUCCGCUGUACACAGUAUGCAGCAUGUGAGACUUUUCUCUUCGGCAGAGAACUUGACAUCGCUUGCAUCUUUCAGAAUACUCGCUAGCCCGCCUGAUCCCCUGGGAAAUAUAUAGACAGCUCAUUGUUGUUAAUGGGACUUGCAGGUAAUAUUGUUGUGACUGCUGUCGGCUUUGCUUAUACAGUGGAACCUCUAUCAAACGGCCACCCACGGAACCUUGAAAACUGGUAGUAAUAAGAAAUUGAUAUUUUGAGUCCAUCUCUAAAUUGACCGUUUAAAAAUAGGUGUCGACUUAUGGAGGUAACGCUGUACUGUAUUGCUGCUGUUAUUAUCUGCCUUUGUCAAAUGAAUUGUGCUACGGUUACUGUAAAUGUGUGUUAUAUUU